rnacentral:lncRNA from 1 species
UGCUCGUUUCCUCAAAGUAAAGUUUUAUUCACUUGUUGUCGAUAUUUCAGUCCCCAGACAAACACGUGUAGCUCCCAUGAUAUAUCAUUAAACUUAUCGACUGAAAACAUGAUGUUCCUUCGGCAAUGAAUAUUCUGUUCCAAUCUAAAAUAUUCCUUUGACAUGAAAUGCAUUAAACCCACAGACCUGUUAAUUAUCUGUCCUGUUAAUAACCUGACCUUUUAAUUUCCUGACCUUUUAAUUACCUGACUUGUUAAUAACCCAAUCUGUUAAUAACCUGACCUUGUCUUACACUGACCUGUUAACAACCUGACCUUUCCUUACACUGACCUGUUAAUAACCUGAUCUUGCCUUACACAUUGACCUGUUAAUAACCCGACCUUGCCUACCACAUUGACCUGUUAAUUACCUGACCUUGCCUGACAUGGAUCUGUUAAUAAACUGACCUUGCCUUACACUGGACCUGUUAAUAACCCGACCUUGUCUUACAGUGAUUUGGGUAAAGAUGUGUAUUUCUCUGUUAGGUGAUGAGUGUGACGGAGCGAUAGAUAUAUUUUUCGAAGACAACGAUAAUUUUAUUUUUAUAAAACAAAAUACGUGUAAAUAUUUUUAUUGGAAAUAACAAACUUUCUUUUUCAAAUGAUCCCUUUUAGUUUUUAUUAUAGGAUUAAACACAUUUUUUCUAGAGGUUAUUGCUGUGUAAACCGGGGCGGUUAACUCACAAACUGAAUAAAAGGUCGAAGGACUUUUAUGUCAAGUUUGUGAGUUAGAGACCCGGGUUACACAUCAAUAACCUCUAGAAAAAAUGUGUUUAAUCCUUAUAGUUCUUCAGCCAAACAUACGCGAUUAUUAGUUUACAUUAUUACUUUGAAGGCUACUAUAUGUACCAUCAGAAGCACAAUGACAUGUCGUAACUAAAGAGUACGCCGCCAUCUUGAUUUUCUAAAAAAAAAAAAUGUUCGAUAAAUGCAGCAGAAUCUAAAAUGAACUAGCAC